rnacentral:tRNA from 1 species
GAUUUGAUAGUUUAAUAAAAACAUUGGUCUUGUAAACCAAAAAUGAAUAAAUAUGUUCUCAAAUCA